AAGAAACCAACUGGGAUUGCCUUAGUAACGGCGAGUGAAGCGGCAAUAGCUCAAAUUUGAAAGCUGGCGCCUUCGGCGUCCGCGUUGUAAUUUGUAGAGGAUGCUUCGGCGAGGACUCCUGCCUAAGUUCCCUGGAAUGGGACGUCACAGAGGGUGAGAAUCCCGUAUGUGGCGGGCGGUCCAAGCCAUGUGAAGCUCCUUCGACGAGUCGAGUUGUUUGGGAAUGCAGCUCUAAAUGGGAGGUAAAUUUCUUCUAAAGCUAAAUACCGGCCAGAGACCGAUAGCGCACAAGUAGAGUGAUCGAAAGAUGAAAAGCACUUUGGAAAGAGAGUUAAAAAGUACGUGAAAUUGUUGAAAGGGAAGCGCUUGCAACCAGACUCGCUCGCAGUUGCUCAGCCUGCCUCUUGGCGGGUGUACUCUUCUGUGAUCGGGCCAGCAUCAGUUCGGGCGGCCGGAUAAAGGUGUCGGGAAUGUAGCACCCUUCGGGGUGUGUUAUAGCCCGGCGCGGAAUGCGGCCAGCCUGGACUGAGGAUCUCGCUUCGGCAAGGAUGCUGGCGUAAUGGUUGUAAGCGGCCCGUCUUGAAACACGGACCAAGGAGUCUAACAUCUAUGCGAGUGUUUGGGUGUCAAACCCAUGCGCGUAAUGAAAGUGAACGGAGGUGGGAACCCGCAAGGGUGCACCAUCGACCGAUCCUGAUGUCUUCGGAUGGAUUUGAGUAAGAGCAUAGCUGUUGGGACCCGAAAGAUGGUGAACUAUGCCUGAAUAGGGUGAAGCCAGAGGAAACUCUGGUGGAGGCUCGCAGCGGUUCUGACGUGCAAAUCGAUCGUCAAAUUUGGGUAUAGGGGCGAAAGACUA
rnacentral:rRNA from 1 species